GCGGCGGGGGGACUGAGGGGCCUAAGGACCUGCGCCUGGCGGCGCGUGGCAGCGGUUUCUAAGCCCGCGCUGCAGCCUUGGGCCUCGGGCCUCGGGCCUCGGCCCGCUGCAGUGCUCCAGCUCGCGCCUCCUGCGGCCGGCUCGCGGGCCUGAGCCUAUGGCUCAGGAGGAGCCGCUGCUGACGUUGCUCUGCACUGUGAGGCCUCGGCCAAAAUGGCCCUGCAAGUGUGGCUGCCCCCGAGCACGACGGCCCUUCCCGGGGACCAACUCCAAAGUGACAGCCCAGCCCCGGGAGCCUAUUUAAUACCGAACGUGCCGCAUAUUCCACAUAAUACAGUUCCAGCGCCUCUGGUAAAAAGCAGGAAUGGCUUCAAUGGCUAGAUAGAGUGGACGCUUGUCCGAGAAUAUUACAGGAUAGCUUUUGAGAUCCCAGACUUGAAAUUGAAGAAGCUGGCUACUUGGAAGCGUUUAUGGUGCAGACCAAGAAAGACCCAAGAAAAUAUUCCUCUCUUUAGCUGAAGGACCAGUAAAGGGGCAGUAUAGCAGACAGAAAACAUUUAGACAAUAAAUGCUCUACUCCAGACAAAAACUAUGAAAAAAAUAUGACUCCUCCUGUCCCCUAAUUCAUGGUAGCAAAGGUCUGGUGGAGAGCCAAGACUUUCACCUCAGCUUCCCCUUGCCUCUUGGCAAGAGAAAGUUAGGUAGGGAGUUAGGACAUUCAUCCCACUAACCAGUAAUGGGAAGCCUCCUGCUUUGGGUGUCAAUGGAGGCCAAAUAGGGAACUUGGACUUCUUCCCCAACCUGGCAGUAAUGAGGUGGUACCUGCUCCCCACCCCCACUUCCACUUGGAAUGCUGUGUCAGAAAAAGCCAGCUAAAAUAAGAGAUUUAAAUAAGAUCUAAAAUCUCAUAGUACAAUACCCUCAAUAUCUAGAUUUCACCUGAAAAUCAAUGGUCAUUUAACGAACUAGGAAGAUUUCAAACUGUAUAUAAAAGAGACAAUAAAUGAUAAAAUCAA